CCUACGGGAGGCAGCAGUGGGGAAUAUUGGGCAAUGGGCGCAAGCCUGACCCAGCAACGCCGCGUGAAGGAAGAAGGCUCUCGGGUUGUAAACUUCUUUUGUCAGGGAAGAGUAGAAGACGGUACCUGACGAAUAAGCCACGGCUAACUACGUGCCAGCAGCCGCGGUAAUACGUAGGUGGCAAGCGUUGUCCGGAUUUACUGGGUGUAAAGGGCGUGUAGCCGGGUUGACAAGUCAGAUGUGAAAUCCUGCGGCUUAACCGCAGAACUGCAUUUGAAACUGUUGAUCUUGAGUACAGGAGAGGCAGAUGGAAUUCCUAGUGUAGCGGUGAAAUGCGUAGAUAUUAGGAGGAACACCAGUGGCGAAGGCGGUCUGCUGGACAGCAACUGACGGUGAGGCGCGAAAGCGUGGGGAGCAAACAGGAUUAGAUACCCCUAUAGUC
rnacentral:rRNA from 1 species